GGUCCCCGCGUCUCUCUGCUUUUGUUACCCCUCCCCUCGCUCCCUCCCGCUCCCCGCCCCCGCGUGGCACUGCGGAGCCGGAGACGUGACCCGAGCGGACUCGCUUCCCCGCAGCUCCAGCCUCUCGCCGCAGAGUCGCAUGUCCUCGAUCCAGAACCUCCAAUCCUUCGACCCCUUUGCUGAUGCAACAAAGGGCGACGACUUACUCCCGGCGGGGACUGAGGAUUACAUUCAUAUAAGGAUCCAGCAACGAAACGGAAGAAAGACACUAACAACUGUUCAGGGCAUUGCAGAUGAUUAUGACAAGAAGAAACUUGUGAAAGCUUUCAAAAAGAAAUUUGCUUGUAAUGGUACUGUGAUUGAGCAUCCUGAAUACGGUGAAGUUAUCCAGCUGCAAGGUGACCAGAGGAAGAACAUUUGCCAAUUCCUCUUGGAGAUUGGCAUUGUCAAGGAAGAACAACUGAAAGUUCAUGGUUUCUAACCAGCUGUACUCUUAUGAAGAACCCUGCAGUAUUGGUCUUACCUGUCCUGUAUCUUCUGUGAAAAAUGAAUCUUUGCAAUGAAUGGACUUCCGUAUUACCUGAACAUUUACAAUCUGAUUUGCAUGACUGCAUGAAACAGAUUUUUGAGUUCAGAAAUGAACACUUAAGGCACUAGCAACAAUUAGGGGAGCAUUAUAUGAUGAUUUCUUUCCCCGUCUGCUCUAGAAAAUUCCACUUGUAGAAAUCCAGUCUCUCAAUCUCCACAAAUUCUGCCUGAUGUUACAGAUCUUAAUUGUUCCAGAGCAAGGAUGCUCCAGAAGAUUGUAUACUGUUAAUGUACAGUAAGUUCAGGAGGAGGAAAUGCCUCAUGCAAAGCGCAAAAUACCCACAUACCAAAUGGAAAUCCUGAAGUAAAUCUUAUGCAAGUCUUGCAGAUGAGCAGAAUAAAGUCAUUGUACUGCAAGUUUACCUAGUCCUGAUUCUUAACUGCUAAAGUAAUAAAUCUUUUGGGGGUACAUAGCAAUUAGUGAUUUUCAUUUUAUCACAUGCCAGAAGAACUGAUGUUCUCAUUUAAAGCUUGUUUCUCAGUUAAAGCCUGUCCUCCUGCCCAAGAGGAAAAACAAGCAGUGUCUUCUACUUUGCUGGUAUUAUACAAGUACUUCUUGUGGGCUUUGAAUUGAAGAUUAACAAAUGACUAGCAGGUCUCAUGUUACUGAGUCAGUCUUCAUUUCAGAUGGCAUUCCUUUAACUUUCACUACCUAAGCUUGAGUCAUUUCUCCAUAGUCAUUCUGCCUGGAAUAAAUAAGAAAAAUCUUCAGUUUUCUUCUUCCUCAUUUACAAAUCCUUUCUAAUUGGAAGAACCUUGCAGCUGAUGGGUGGCUUGGGUGGACAUGGUUGUGUUUUGACCUUUGAAGGGUAAAAUUAUAAGGAGAUGGAAUAAGACAUAAUACAUUUGAAAUUUUUAAGAGGUGAGAUUUUUUCUGGCAACAAACCAUUCAAUCUUUCUAGAAGGAAAGCAGAAAUUUUUGUCCAUGAGUGUUUUAAACUAAAACAAUGUUUCUAAGAUUGAAAUUAGCUUUGUUACAAGCCCAAAGCUCUUAGUAUGUUCUAGAUAAAAGGCUUCAACAAUAUAAUGUCUUGUCAUCUUAUUCUGAAACUUCUUUAUCAAAGCUAAAUUUAUUUGGAAUACAUAUCUAUGUUUUAAAAAUGCUGAAAAUGAAGGCUUUGGAAAGUAACUGUUUAAAGUGCUGCCACAAAAAUCUGUUUUCAGAACGAAGGCAGGUUUCAAUCUUUAUUUAUUCCAAAAUAGGUUAAAAAAUGUUGAAGGAUGUGGCCCAUAAUUGUCAAGGCAGUAAGAAGGAGCUUAUAAUAGCUUAACUCUUUUGAAGUCCACUAGUAGGACUAGUAGGAGCUGGUCAAGCUCAAACUGCAAAGAAUGUUUUUUUGUUGGAAUAUCGUGAAGUCUGUGUCCUUCAGACCUACCAAUAAAGACUGCAUUCUUACUGAUACUUGGGCUUGAUCUCCAGGUGUUAUUGGAUGUAGAAACUUGGUUUGAAUUCACAGCCUUGUGCACAGGUUUAUUACGCUGUUCUAGCUGUCUCUGAGCUGAUACCUUGGAGUAAGGUGUUGCAUAAAUAAAUUCAUUAAAUUGUC